rnacentral:rRNA from 1 species
GUCCAUAACUGACGCUGAGGAGCGAAAGCGUGGGGAGCGACGGGAUUAGAUACCCUGGUAGUCCACGCCGUAAACGGUGGGCACUAGAUGUGGGGCUCUUUCCAUGAGUUCCGCGUCGCAGCUAACGCAUUAAGUGCCCCGCCUGGGGAGUACGGCCGCAAGGCUAAAACUCAAAGGAAUUGACGGGGGGCCCGCACAAGCGGCGGAGCAUGCGGAUUAAUUCGAUGCAACGCGAAGAACCUUACCAAGGCUUGACAUAUGCGGUCUAUCCCUAGAGAUAGGGAGUGCUUCGGCGCCGUAUACAGGUGGUGCAUGGUUGUCGUCAGCUCGUGUCGUGAGAUGUUGGGUUAAGUCCCGCAACGAGCGCAACCCUCGUUCUAUGUUGCCAGCGCGUAAUGGCGGGGACUCAUAGGAGACUGCCGGGGUCAACUCGGAGGAAGGUGGGGAUGACGUCAAAUCAUCAUGCCCCUUAUGUCUUGGGCUUCACGCAUGCUUAAUAGGCCGCUACAAAGGGCUGCGAUACCGCAAGGUGGAGCGAAUCCCAAAAAGCCGGUCUCAGUUCGGAUUGAGGUCUGCAACUCGACCUCAUGAAGUCGGAGUCGCUAGUAAUCGCAGAUCAGCAACGUUGCGGUGAAUACGUUCCCGGGCCUAGCACACACCGCCC